ACCUGACUCCUACGGGAGGCAGCAGUGGGGAAUAUUGCACAAUGGGGGAAACCCUGAUGCAGCGACGCCGCGUGAGUGAAGAAGUAUUUCGGUACGUAAAGCUCUAUCAGCAGGGAAGAAAGAAAGUCCUUUGGACUUUGGACGGUACCUGACCAAGAAGCCCCGGCUAACUACGUGCCAGUAGCCGCGGUAAUACGUAGGGGGCAAGCGUUAUCCGGAUUUACUGGGUGUAAAGGGAGCGUAGACGGCAGCGCAAGUCUGGAGUGAAAUGCCGGGGCCCAACCCCGGAACUGCUUUGGAAACUGUGCAGCUCGAGUGCAGGAGAGGUAAGCGGAAUUCCUAGUGUAGCGGUGAAAUGCGUAGAUAUUAGGAGGAACACCAGUGGCGAAGGCGGCUUACUGGACUGUAACUGACGUUGAGGCUCGAAAGCGUGGGGAGCAAACAGGAUUAGAUACCCUAGUA
rnacentral:rRNA from 1 species